UCUGUGAAGCUGGGGAGAAUAGUACCCGCGGUAACGAUACUAGCGCGACAUCGUAAUUCCUCAUGCUAUACGGGGACAGCGAGAAGCAACAUGGGAGAAGAUACUGAUGCUGCGCCUAACGACAAAAGACCUCGAGAUCGGCCCCAGUGGAACAAGGGGUUGCAGUUCUUUCUAUCCUGCCUGUCCAUCUCCAUUGGACUGGGAAAUGUGUGGCGAUUCCCCACACUAGCCUACCAGAAUGGAGGAGGGGCGUUUCUCAUACCGUACUUCAUUCUUCUGUUCAUUGUUGGCAAGCCGGUGUACUUUCUGGAGCUCGCCAUUGGUCAGUUUUCCGGAAGAGGCGUGGUCCAAACGUGGGAGUGCGUGCCAGGUUUUAAAGGUAUAAGCGUCGCUCAGUUCGUGACCAGCUUCUACAUCCUGGUCGCUUACAACUACAUCAUGGCCCUCUGCCUGUUCUACUUGUUCGCGUCCAUGCAAAGCCCUCUUCCUUGGACCCACUGCGACCCUCAAUGGAGCGACGAAAACUGCUUCCACAACUUGUUGAACACAACCGCCAACAUCACGGAGAACGCCACCUCCUCGUCAGAACAGUUCUUCAGGAAAUACGCGUUGAAAGACUCCGGAGAAUUCAAGCUUCCCACGGCCUUCGACUGGAGAAUGGCACUGUGUCUGUUGCUCUCGUGGCUUGUGCAAGCAGUGUCCACUAUCAAGGGUGUUCACUCAAUUGGCAAGGUUGCGUACGUGACAUCGACGUUCCCGUACGUGGUGCUUCUCACGCUUCUGGUUGUCACGCUGCUCCAGGAAGGAGCUGCAAACGGCCUCGCCGCCCUUUUUGUACCCCAGUGGAGCAAGAUACUCGAAAUACAAGUAUGGUUCAACGCGUGCGAGCAGUCCUUCUUUUCUCUUGGCAUCGGCAUGGGAGUAUUGACGAUGUACUCCAGUUACAAUGACUUCAAGCAUAACAUUUCAAGGGACGCCUUCUUCAUUUCAAUGGCAGAUACAGCUACAAGCCUCUUAGCUGGAUCGGUUGUUUUCUCCACACUGGGCUCACUAGCGCACCAACUCGGAGUGCAAGAUAUCUCCCAGGUCUUGAAAGGAACUUCGGAUUUGGGAUUGGCCUUCGUCACUUACCCGGAAGCCCUGAGUAGAAUCUCAUUCCUGCCUCAAUUGUGGUCGGUGUUAUUCUUCUUCAUGCUGUUUCUUCUUGGACUUGGAAGCGGCGUUUCAAACAUUCAGCUCAUGGUGGCGGUUCUAGAAGAUCAAUACCCAAGGCUGCAGGACCUGAAAGGCUGCACAGUUUUUGCAAUAUGCCUCUUGUGCUUCGGUACGGGUCUCCUCUUGUGCACUGAUAACGGAAACAAGAUGCGGCUAUUGUUCGACAAUUACGGCAUUGGGAGAGCUCUGUUCCUGUACGCCAUCUUCGAAGUGGUCGGCCUUGUUUGGGUGUACGGCUGGAAGAACAUCUGCGGCGACAUCGGCUACAUGCUCGGCAAACCAGUAUCUUGGUACUGGAAGAUAACAUGGGGCAUCCUUACGCCGGUCUCGCUAAUUGCCAUCUUCAUAUAUGGAACCGUAACAGAGAAGUCUUCGUCCACACUGCCUCCGAUUGGCCAGGCCAUAGGCUGGAUCCUGGCCUCCUUGGCGGUUGGUCAGAUCGUACUAUGGAUGGUCGUGGCUUUCGUGAAGGCGCCAGGCUCGGACGUGUUCGAGAAAUUCAAGACCACGUUCACAGCGUCAGAAAAGUUUGGACCCAGGGAUCCUGACGUGAAAGGAGAGUGGUUGUCCUGGAAGGCGAGCACGCAAAAGUCCUCGCUCUAUCCCACUGCUAAGACUGCUAGCGAGCACGUGAACCAUGCGUUUACACUCGACUAAGGCGCACUGGUUGUGAAGCAUCAGUCAACGCUGCGACAGCACCUUUAGCUGAACUGACGGACUAUAGGUGGUGUAUAGAGAAACAAAUUGCGCACGGGAUCGCCGCCGUAUAACUUAGGUGUUGCCACAGGCAGCUACCACGUGCCACCCGCCUUGUCACAGGGAUGGAUUCGACUUUGUAUACUUUGGAAGAUUACGGUUUCAACGACGGAAGUUUGCUCCAAGUGAUGUCAUCGUCAAUAUUACCGCACCUAUAUACGAACGUGGUCGGACUACAAUUUAACCUGAGAAUGUGGGAGGGAGGGGUAGUUUAUUAAAAUUGUUAGUAUUUGUUUAAUUUCAUGAAAGCGGAUCAUUACUCACCAUGAUCUCUGUUUUGUUUAGCCCCUUCAGGCGCUGUGUGCAGCAUUGCGCAGGGCCAAUAUUGCGCAUAAAAAACAAUAGCAAUUAUGAAAAAAAGUGGACAGUCAGUUUAGCUAAUGAGGAUGAAGGCGAAAGCAUGCGCGCUCACGAGACAUUCAUUAAAUUACUUAACAUUCUCA